rnacentral:rRNA from 1 species
UACGUAGGGUGCAAGCGUUGUCCGGAAUUAUUGGGCGUAAAGAGCUCGUAGGCGGUCUGUCGCGUCUGCUGUGAAAACCUAGGGCUUAACCCUGGGCCUGCAGUGGGUACGGGCAGACUAGAGUGCGGUAGGGGAGAAUGGAAUUCCUGGUGUAGCGGUGAAAUGCGCAGAUAUCAGGAAGAACACCCGUGGCGAAGGCGGUUCUCUGGGACGGUACUGACGCUGAGACGCGAAAGCGUGGGGAGCGAACAGG